UCCUCUCCCUUCCUCACCACUGAUCCCAGCCACCUUGGGCGGCUGGGGAGCGAGGCUGACCGCUAAGUGGACCUGACCUUCAGAAUGAGGGCUUUCUGAGGCAAGGGCAGGGAGGGGUGUGGCUCGUGGAAGACAGAGAGAAGGGUUGGGGUAGGGACCCAGGGAUAGAUCUCUAGAAGGGUCUGGAUUCCCUAGGGGCCUGCGAUGAAACUUGCACUCUGUGGAAUAGUUCCAGGGUUGAGGAGGUAUUUUUCCCUCUCCACCCUGGUCUUCUCCUGUAACGUGUGGCCGCCUUUUCCAGCACGGCCUCCUGCCUUCCUGGUGCACUUUUUGGAGAACGUGGUGGAAUCAGAGGUUUCUGGCUGACUCGGUGGGUGCUUUGAACCAGGAAAGGACAAGAAAGAGACCCAUGCAGGAGACCUCUCCAGGUACACAUAUUUCCUGCUACUGAAUGGCUUAGACUGGGAUUUGCAAGGAACUACGAAGUCCAAGACCUUUGCCUUUCUUUUAGAAGAAGGCACCAGCUGGUUCUCCAAUGUUGAAGGUCUUCUCCAGAGAUGAACUCUGAAAGCCACAUGUUGAGAUGGCCCCAUUACAGGAUGGAGAGCACCUGAACCCCCAAGUUAUGGACUAGAAGAAGACAGUUGCCCUGGAAAAUCAUCUGACCCACAUUGGACUUUAUGUGAGGGGGAAAUAAACCUUUAUUAUGUUAAGCUACACAAUAAUAAAUAACAAC
rnacentral:lncRNA from 1 species